AGAGAUGAAGAUGUUGAGUGGCAAAGGUUAAGGAAUGUUACAAAACCUAAUUAUGGACUAUGGAGUGUGGAAACCUAAAGGUGUUUUUAUUGUAGCCUUUGCGGAGCUUCAGUGUGGUAGAGGCUCAACGGCAAACGAAUAACAGAGGUAAAAAUAAAGAAAAAAGCACCCAUGCCGCUGAGUGAUUAUUGGACUUGGAAAGUUAGAGUGAAGAUUGUGUCGGCUAGAGUAUUGUUAACUAUUUUUAAGAUUUCU
rnacentral:lncRNA from 1 species